rnacentral:lncRNA from 1 species
CCUCAUUUCUAGUAUACCCGUGGCGAAAAUCGAGAGAAAGAGAGACAGAAACCAUAUACUUGCAAUGUUACUAAUCUGCAAAAGAGGAACAAUAGAGCCAGCUAAUCAGGUUUUGAAACCGUAAAUCUCUUCAAUUUGCUGUCUCACGAAUCAAUGACAAACAUAACAUGGUUUUAAAUAAAGCAGACCGUAAUUAUGGUUUGUUAUAAAGAUCGGGAGAGAAAGAGGUGUCAAACCUGAGGAAUAAUAAACUGGUUGGUGAAGAGACAAACGGCGGGCAAUGUACAAUACAUGAGAAGAGGAAUGGAGGUGAUUGGGUAGAUGGUGGUGUUCACAUAUGCAAACCUCUCAAGAAAUUUCAGCCUCCCAUUGUAGCCAUACCAUAUUGGACAAUGCCGACUGAAGAGAAUCUCAACUGAACCUAGAGCCCACCUCAGCACUUGGUUCAGACGAUCUGAAAGAUUGAUAGGAGCAGACCCCUUGAAAGCUGGAAGCUUUGGCAUACAGUAAAUGGAUCGCCAUCCACGGGCAUGCAUUUUGAACCCAGUCAAAAUAUCUUCUGUCACAGAACCAUAGAUCCAUCCAAUCUGAAGAAAGACAGCGUAGAAUACAAACAAACUGAGUGCCAAAGUGGAUAUGUCAGAACAUUGCAGUUUCAUAUAGGAGUUAAAAUGAGAUAAUACCUCCAUUCCCCAAUCUGACUUAUCCUCGUAACCACAACUAAUGACAUGGAUAGCCUCUUUGAGAAGGUUUUCUGGAGUUGCUGAAGGAGGAACACCCCCAUUUUCCAUUAGGGUAGAAGCAACAAAAACAGCAGACUGUCCAAAUCGCUUCUCCAGGCUCAUUUGCGACAUCAAGAGCGCCUUUUCAUCAUCAAAACC